CACGUAGGGGGGCGAGCGUUGUCCGGAUUUAUUGGGCGUAAAGAGCUCGUAGGUGGCUUAGUAAGUCGGGUGUGAAACCUCCAGGCUCAACCUGGAGACGCCACCCCGAUACUGCUAUAGCUUGAGUCCGGUAGGGGAGCGUGGAAUUCCUGGGUGUAGCGGUGAAAUGCGCAGAUAUCAGGAGGAACACCCAGCGGCGAAGGCGGCGCUCUGGGCCGGUACUGACACUGAGGGAGCGAAAAGCGUGGGGAGCAAACAGG
rnacentral:rRNA from 1 species